rnacentral:lncRNA from 1 species
CGGAGAGAGCAUGUGAACUUGCUUCCAUUCAUGUCGAUGGCAAACGCUUCUCUCGUGCGGAAACUCACCUGCUUAUUCUCAAACAGGACGACCUCUACAGAACAGGAGUGUGUUGCUGGUAGUUCAGACGUGAGUAGAUUGCAGUUGUCUGAAAUCUUGAAAUGCGAGCAGCUUUGAAUGGUAUUAUUUGGCCUUUUAAGUCUGAUGGUUGACCGCCCUUCGUCCUCAGGAAGAGGUUAAGAUUCAGUGAUCGUGGAGUUGGUUUCCAAGUCCAGUAGUUCACUGGGUUUGGAGGCUGCUCUCUCUUCUAGUCUAAAGAAACUAUACAAGAUCAGUGUCUAAUCAUCCUUGCCUAAUAAUUCAAUGACUGCUCUUCGUAUAUCAAGAUUGACAACCUUAAAAGACCUCUUGAAGAUUAUACCAGAAAACCAUUUGACAAGAGAUUGACUUAAGGGAAAGGAGCUUUAGACUUUCAGUAAUGUUUCAGGCCUUUGUUAUUUGACCACAACAACUCAUGUAAGGUUGGAUCCAAGGAAGCAACAAGGUAACGUUGACGCAGUGAAAUAUAUUUAGUGAGUUGAAGCACAACCUUCCUCAAUCGAGGCUAAGAGUCAAAAGUAUAAG